GACGAACGCUGGCGGCGUGCCUAAUACAUGCAAGUCGAACGAAGUGGGGACGGGUGAGUAACACGUGGGUAACCUCCCAUCAGAGGGGAUAAAACUUGGAAACAGGUGCUAAACCGAUACUGAUGGAUGGAACCGCGGUGGAUUAGCUAGUUGGUGAGGGAACGGCUCACCAAGGCCACGAUGCAUAGCCGUCCUGAGUGUUUGAUCGGCAACUCUGGGACUGAGACCCGGCCCAGACUCCUACGUGCGGCAGCAGUAGUGAAUCUUCGGCAAUGGACGAAGUUCUAACCUAGCAACGCCGCUUGAGUGAUGAAGGUUUUCGGAUCGUAAAACUCUGUUGUUAGGGAAGCGGUAUCUAACCAGAAAGCCACGGCUAACUACGUGCCGGCAGCCGCGGUAAUAC
rnacentral:rRNA from 1 species